rnacentral:rRNA from 1 species
CCUGAUGCAGCGAUGCCGCGUGAGUGAAGAAGGCCUUUGGGUUGUAAAGCUCUUUCGUCGGGGAAGAAAAUGACUGUACCCGAAUAAGAAGGUCCGGCUAACUUCGUGCCAGCAGCCGCGGUAAUACGGAGGGUGCGAGCGUUAAUUCGGAAUUACUGGGCGUAAAGCGCACGCAGGCGGUUUGUUAAGCUAGAUGUGAAAGCCCCGGGCUCAACCUGGGAUGGUCAUUUAGAACUGGCAGACUAGAGUCUUGGAGAGGGGAGUGGAAUUCCAGGUGUAGCGGUGAAAUGCGUAGAUAUCUGGAGGAACAUCAGUGGCGAAGGCGACUCCCUGGCCAAAGACUGACGCUCAUGUGCGAAAGUGUGGGUAGCGAACAGGAUUAGAUACCCUGGUAGUCCACACCGUAAACGCUGUCUACUAGCUGUGUGUGUCUUUAAGCCGUGCGUAGCGAAGCUAACGCGCUAAGUAGACCGCCUGG